rnacentral:rRNA from 1 species
UGGGGAAUAUUGGACAAUGGGCGAAAGCCUGAUCCAGCCAUGCCGCGUGUGUGAAGAAGGUCUUCGGAUUGUAAAGCACUUUAAGUUGGGAGGAAGGGCAUUAACCUAAUACGUUAGUGUUUUGACGUUACCGACAGAAUAAGCACCGGCUAACUCUGUGCCAGCAGCCGCGGUAAUACAGAGGGUGCAAGCGUUAAUCGGAAUUACUGGGCGUAAAGCGCGCGUAGGUGGUUUGUUAAGUUGGAUGUGAAAGCCCCGUGCUCAACCUGGGAACUGCAUCCAAAACUGGCAAGCUAGAGUACGGUAGAGGGUGGUGGAAUUUCCUGUGUAGCGGUGAAAUGCGUAGAUAUAGCAAGGAACACCAGUGGCGAAGGCGACCACCUGGACUAAUACUGACACUGAGGUGCGAAAGCGUGCGGAGCAAACA